rnacentral:tRNA from 2 species
GGGCUUGUGGUCUAGUGGUUAUGACACUUCGUUGACGUCGAAGAGAUCCCCAGUUCGAAUCUGGGCAGGCCCA